rnacentral:sRNA from 1 species
CUACCACUGAGCUAAAUCCCCAACCCCCUAAAUUUUGGGUUUUGAGAUGGGGUCUCCCUCUAGCCUAAGCUAGUCUAGAACUUACUACAUAGCCCAGGAUGGCCUCCAGACUCCACCCAUCCCACUACAUGCUAGGUCUACAGGUAAGGUAAGUAUAUGAAGUCAUAGUUGCCAAGACAGCCUAUUGUGCACAGCAACUAGUGAGACUGGGAUAGCCUGGGAAGGCUUUGAAGAGAAAAUGUCAGUUAAACUGGUUCCAGUGAGGCAGGUGGAUAGGCUGGGGACUUGGAAAAGUGAUGCCGAUAUCGUGGUGUUGUGAGCAGGUGAGAGGGGAGGAGGCAUGAGGAGAGCUGGGUCAGGCUCUCACGAGCUGCUCUUGCCUCGUGCUUCUCACCUUGCUUCUUGUCCCUGAUGCACUGGCUGGCUGCCCUAACACUUUGCCAGGAAGCUUUUGCUGACUUUCGAGCCCACAAAACAUCACCCUCUUGCACAUCUGAUAGCUUUGUAGUCUCUUCUGUUUCACCUCACAGCUCACUGUGUAUAAUUAUAUGCAUAUGUAUGUAUGUAAAGGAGUCGCUUCCUUCAGUGUUCCUUGGUCAUAGGUGUACCUCUCAGUCCUAGCCCAGCCUCUAACACAGAAUAGUCCAAGUUGCUAAUUAAGUCAAGUCGAAGAAAACAAAUUUACUCAUUUACUGUAAAAUAAUUACUGAUUUUUAUACAGUAACCCAGACAUGUAAGAUCUUGAGGACUCUUUUUUAACAUAUCAACUCUGUGGCAUGGAUGAAACUAGUCUUGCUUCAUUACCUAAUAGCCAAUUAACAUGUCCCCUGUGAGUCUCUCCCUGGUUGUCCUUCCUUCCCUGUCAUUUCCAUGUGGCUGUGUAACAAGGUUUACUUCAUUCCAGGAGGACAACACAUAAUCCCCUGUGUCUCAGGGUUGAACAGCUCCGAUGGAGUACCCGCUGGUAAGAAAUUCCCAACAGAUACAUGCUUUGUGCUUUAGCACAGUACAGUUUGUUCUGACGUUUAGCUCCCGAGGCAGGGCCUUCUGUGUAGUUCCAGGCUGGCCUUAAAUUCAAAAUAAUCCUCUUGAGCUUGGGGACUCCCAAGUAUAUACCCUCUGCUCUGUCCUUUAGCCUUUUUUCUCUUCAAAUUUUAAUAAUAUUUUCGAUGAUGACAAGCAUCUUACCCACAGAGAACCACUAUGCAUCUUUUAAAACAAUUAAGGACAAUAUUUGUAAUUUUGAUAUUUGUAGUUGACAGAAUUAUGAAGCUAUGCUCAUUUUGUACUUUGUGUCUUGCAAAAUUCAUUUUGAAAAGCUUUGUUGUGAAGCUUAAGGACCUUUAUGUAUAUAAUAAAUGAAUGUAUGUAUAUAUAACACACACACACACACACACACACACACACAUACACACACACACACACACACACACGAAUAUGUCUAGAAGAGUGGCCCUGGAGCUUGCGUGCUGGUGGUGGAUGGGGGUGGAGUCUGUGGUCUUGGCUGCCGCAUGGGGCAAUGUUGAUGUCCUAGGGUUGGGGAGAACUGGGUCCCCCUCACAGGCUGCCCACCCCAGGUGUGGGGAAGCUGGCAGGCUGACCAAUUCAUCUCCCACCCAGGCCCAGAUCCAGAUCUACUCCAUCUGUGCACUGCUGGAGCAUGUAGAGGGGCCAGUCCUGCAGAUCCGAAGCUGCAGGAUCUCUGUGACACAGGGCUACAACAGGAUGUCCCAGAGGAGUCCCAGUGAGGAUCCUGUAUUGCUAGUGUAGCAGAAGCCAGAGGCCUCGUACCAGACCAAUAGCUCAUUGCGAUGGACACUUUCAAGCUGAGGACCACUGAACUAGAGGAAGACACAAAUUACCAAUCAGGAUGGGAAGAGGCGGCACGCUGUGCAUGGUGGGUAUUAUCACUGAUCUCGGCUUCAGUAGCCAUUUCAGGUUGUGUAUGAUGUCAGAGCUUAUCUGGUUGUAUACUAUAAAUAUAUGCAAUUUAUUGUGUAUCAGCCACUUUCUUAGAACUGUUUAAGGAUCAGUUACUCAGUGGAGAACCAUGCUUUGGUUGAGUAGUGACAGUCACAAAAUUACAAUUACAAUGUAACAAUGAAAAUAAUUUUAAGGUUGCAGGUAUUAAAGGCUUGCAGCAUUAGGAGAGCUGAUACAAUCUUACUUUGAAAAGGUCCAGAGCUGCAUAGGGAUUACGCUCACCAGCAGUGGUGUCUACAUCUGAGAUAAAUCUCCAUGUCUACCACAGAGACUUGCCUGAAUUUUUUUUGACUAUUUUCUUCAUGAUCUGUGGUAGUUUUGACUUGAUUGGCGCUGUUUAUAUCUCGUUUCUUUGGUAGUUGUCCCUCGUUUUUCUGCCACGGUUCCCUUUCCACUUGAACAUUAUCUCCGGCCCCAGUCCUCUCUCUCACACUAGAGGCUCACCCUGUGAGUCAGUGAAAGUGAAGAACUACAGUAUACUUUAGGCAGGCUUUUGGUGGCGGAGGUUCCAGUCAGCCUUAACGCAAGCACCGUUUGGAGCUAGCUACAGCACUCAGUCAGAAGCCAUUCCCCAGGAGCUGGGGAAGUAGCUGGGUAAGGUAAAGUGCUUUGCUGUGCAAACGUCUGGAACCACCAGGUUCACUAGGCCCCUCCGUGCAGCCGUAAUCAACAAGAGCUGAGACGCCCACAGACAAAAGGAAGCUGAGCUGCAAGGAAGACCCUGAGACCAGGCCUCAUGCCUGAAAGUUCAGACCAACUGAGUCAUCUGAAGGGCUGCCCCCACCUGCUGAGCUGCCUGCAGUCUGUGCACUGUGCUCCAGGUCCCCAGCUUUGUGAGCUGUCACCCAUGCUGAGGUGGGCCUUGGUGAUGAUACAGAUGUCUCUGGGUCAUUCCUGCUCCUUUAACCCUUCACCCCUACUCCUGUAACUCCAUUAAAACUCAUUGGUUCACCAA